UACGAAGGGGGCUAGCGUUGUUCGGAAUUAUUGGGCGUAAAGGGCGCGUAGGCGGCUUUGCAAGUGACGGGUGAAAUCCCUCGGCUUAACCGGGGAACUGCCUGUCAAACUGCAUGGCUUGAGACCGGGAGAGGUGAGUGGAAUUCCCAGUGUAGCGGUGAAAUGCGUAGAUAUUGGGAGGAACACCAGUGGCGAAGGCGGCUCACUGGACCGGUACUGACGCUGAGGCGCGAAAGCGUGGGUAGCAAACAGG
rnacentral:rRNA from 1 species